GGCGGCAUGGCUCAGGAGGUAGAGUAGGCGGGCUAGGAAUCAAAAGGUUCCUGGUUCGAUCCCUGGCUCCUCCA